GACGAACGCUGGCGGCGUGCUUAACACAUGCAAGUCGUACGGUAAGGCCCUUUCGGGGGUACACGAGUGGCGAACGGGUGAGUAACACGUGAGUAACCUGCCCACAACUUUGGGAUAACGCUAGGAAACUGGUGCUAAUACUGGAUAUGUGCUCCUGCUGCAUGGUGGGGGUUGGAAAGCUCCGGCGGUUGUGGAUGGACUCGCGGCCUAUCAGCUUGUUGGUGGGGUAGUGGCCUACCAAGGCGGCGACGGGUAGCCGGCCUGAGAGGGUGACCGGCCACAUUGGGACUGAGAUACGGCCCAGACUCCUACGGGGGGCAGCAGUGGGGAAUAUUGCACAAUGGGCGCAAGCCUGAUGCAGCAACGCCGCGUGCGGGAUGACGGCCUUCGGGUUGGAAACCGCUUUCAGCAGGGACGAAGCUUUUUGUGACGGUACCUGCAGAAGAAGCACCGGCUAACUACGUG
rnacentral:rRNA from 1 species